GGAUCAGUACGCUGGUCAUGCUUUCGGGUAUGUACUGGUGUCACUGAUUCCUCCCCUCUGAUGAACUAUCAUGCCAUUUACUUGGUGUAGUGGGGAAUUAGGACUGUUACUUUGAAAAAAUUAGAGUGUUUAAAGCAGGCUCACGCUUGAAUACAUUAGCAUGGAAUAAUGAAAUAGGACGUUGAUCUUAUUUUGUUGGUUUCUAGGAUUGACGUA
rnacentral:rRNA from 1 species